rnacentral:rRNA from 1 species
UACGAAGGGGGCUAGCGUUGUUCGGAAUUACUGGGCGUAAAGGGCGCGUAGGCGGUGUGUCAAGUCAGGCGUGAAAGCCCCGGGCUCAACCUGGGAACUGCAUCUGUGACUGCAUAGCUAGAGUACGGUAGAGGGGGAUGGAAUUCCGCGUGUAGCAGUGAAAUGCGUAGAUAUGCGGAGGAACACCGAUGGCGAAGGCAAUCCCCUGGACCUGUACUGACGCUCAUGCACGAAAGCGUGGGGAGCAAACAGG